AUGAAAUAAAGAAAUGAAACUCGCUAAGCAGACAAAAACAGACAACUUUCUGCUUAGAAAACAGCCUUCUCGGUGGGAGAGGAUGAACUGCCAUGUCUAAGAGAAAGACUUGCCCCCGAAUUUGUAGUUUUGGCCAGAAAUGGUGAGAAGAAAAAGCAUGAAGAAGCCGCGAAGUGUGGGGGAGAAAAAGGUGGAAGCGAAGAAACAGCUCCCGGAGCAAACUGUACAAAAACCUCGCCAAGAGUGUCGGGAGGCAGGACCGUUAUUCCUGCAGAGCAGGAGAGAGACGAGAGACCCUGAAACACGCGCCACCUAUCUUUGUGGGGAGGGAUAAUUGAAGCGCCCUGAGCGUACCAGAGCCAGAAAAAAAAAUGCUGCAUGGGAGCUGCAUCUUAGGGCAUGUGUAUUAGGGUGUGUGCAUGAUGAAUUUCUGGACUGGAUCCCAAUAUUAAAAAGUAGUUUGGCAUUUUAAUAAAGGGUCUCUAAGUAAAUUAAAAUAGAACACUCGGUUGGCCGAUCUCUGAAUCUCUCUACACCUCGGGGAGACCUCACUACAAAGUAAGGGAGAGUGUGUAGGGAGGCAGGAGGAGAAACGAGAAAGGCCAUAGAGAAACUUAGCAGGGAAGGGAGAGCAUGAUAUUAAACGGCAUGGGGUCUAAGUUUUGGAGUAUAUAUUUUUUGAUAUUACAAUUAAAGUAAGAUUAAAAAGAAAAGACUCCACCUUUGCUCUGAAGGGAUUGGUUAUGCAAAUAUGGAAGGGAUUUCCUGGAGAAUACAGCUUUCUACUGUAUGGUUAAUUAAAUAAUCACUCAAAAGCUUCCAACGUGACGCUUCUGUCGUAAUCCAAUCAGGUUACAUAGGUCCUAAACAAGAAAGAUAUUUUCCACAUCUGGAAGUCAGCAAUUUAGCAAGUACUGCACAUUAUUAACCAAUUCAGAGCCCACUUCCCAGGGGAAUUUUUUUGAAGUUUAAGUGUUCUUAACCAAUGCUCUGCUGUUUUGUUAAUCAAAAAGCUGGUUUACACUGCACAUAAUUGGAACUAAUAUAGAAGUAAAUAAAGACAGCCAAAUUUGA
rnacentral:lncRNA from 1 species